UACGAAGGUGGCAAGCGUUACUCGGAAUUACUAGGCGUAAAGCGCAGGUAGGUGGUUGUGUAAGUCUGCUGUGAAAGCUCCCGGCUUAACUGGGAGAGGUCAGCGGAUACUGCAUAGCUAGAGUGUGGGAGAGGGUACUGGAAUUCCCGGUGUAGCGGUGAAAUGCGCAGAGAUCGGGAGGAACACCAAAGGCGAAAGCAGGUACCUGGACCAUUACUGACACUAAGCUGCGAAAGCUAGGGGAGCAAACAGG
rnacentral:rRNA from 1 species